rnacentral:rRNA from 1 species
UACGUAGGGUGCGAGCGUUGCCCGGAAUUAUUGGGCGUAAAGGGCUCGUAGGCGGUCUGUCGCGUCGGGAGUGAAAACUCAGGGCUUAACCCUGAGCCUGCUUCCGAUACGGGCAGACUAGAGGUAUGCAGGGGAGAACGGAAUUCCUGGUGUAGCGGUGGAAUGCGCAGAUAUCAGGAGGAACACCGGUGGCGAAGGCGGUUCUCUGGGCAUUACCUGACGCUGAGGAGCGAAAGUGUGGGGAGCGAACAGG